GGCAGCAUGGCAUAGUGGGUUGAGUGUUGGACUACAACUCUGGAAUCCAGGGUUUGAUUCUCUGGUUGGCCA